rnacentral:rRNA from 1 species
CACGUAGGGCGCAAGCGUUGUCCGGAAUUAUUGGGCGUAAAGAGCUCGUAGGCGGUCUGUUGCGUCCGCUGUGAAAACUCGGGGCUUAACCCCGAGCCUGCAGUGGAUACGGGCAGACUAGAGGUAGGUAGGGGAGAAUGGAAUUCCCGGUGUAGCAGUGAAAUGCGUAGAGAUCGGGAGGAACAUCCAUGGCGAAGGCAGCUACCUGGACCAACACUGACACUGAGGUACGAAAGCGUGGGGAGCAAACAGG